rnacentral:lncRNA from 1 species
ACAUAAUUCCAUUCAAAAUAUUCUCAAACAGAAUACACGCUGAUUUGCAAUGGAAUAGCAAUUGUGAGGUCAUAAUCUGUCCAUGCAAAGUGAUCAUAAACAAUACCGAUUCUAAUACUCUUUUAACUUAACCACAUCAGACUAUUCUUAUGCGGAAAAGCCGCAUAACGUCUAGUAUAGUUUUGCGGUAGCUUUAUGGAGUGGAGUUGAUGCGUAUCAAGAUUGUAGAAAAUGCAAUGCACCAUCUUUAACCCAUAGAAGGCGACAAAAUAGAAGGCCAAAACAUGUGGAUAUUUAACCCAACCAAGUGGCUCAAGAACUGCACCAUCUUCAGGAGCUAACUGUUGAAUCCUGCAUUUCUCAGCUCCCAAGUCGACGUUGGACAGCGCCUUCCUCCACUCGCCUGUCUCUGCCUUCAUCUCCCAAACCUCCCACGACAAAUCCCCACACGCAACCAGGAGCGACACACACCUCCCAGUCGACAGAUAAUAAUAGUCGCAUUCAUGGUACUCAUAAGGGGCUUCACUCAGUGUAAUGAUCUCCGUCUCCACAUCCAUCGUCGCACAGUAUCUCCCCCUUCCCCAGUGCAGGAAACCUUCACUAGUCACGGGACCCACGUUGAAGAAAAAUGGCACAUGGUCGGGGAGGUGGUGAACCUCGACUUGCCUCCAGGAUUCAUCGACUCCAACAGUGAGCACGCUGAGACCGAGGUCCUUUCGUGCGUGUGGUUCAUAGUGGCGAACAAAGGUUGGUCCAAUCACUUUAUACACCAAGGAAGCUGCAGAGUAUGCAAAACUAUACUUGAGGUCAUAGCCUCCGCGUGUAGGCAAUGGUGGGAGGAGGAAUGACUGCUUUGUUGCAGGAUUUACAAGACAAGGGAGGCGGUGACCUUUGGCAUCCAUCAGCCGAACCAUCUCCAGAACCAAACCGUUGCAGGUAGCAAGAACUCCCAAAUUUGGAUAAUGUGAUUUAGCUCAGAUGUGUGGAUUCCACCGUCUGCGUCGGCUGUUACAUAAAGUGGCAGAGUAUUAUGAUAUAGGGGUGAUAGGAGGAGUCCAUAGGUAGCACAGUGCAUCGGCGCGUUGAUGAAGGCGUGAGAAUGGAUAAUUCUCAAUUAUAACAUGACCUUAUUUAGAUUAUUUUUCAUCAUAGAUGUAUUAAUAUUUAUUGUAUUUAUAUUAAAUUGUUAUGUACAAAAUAUUUAUAAUUGAUUGAUUAAUUUUUAUAAAAAUUAAGUUAGAUGAUUAAUUAUUUCAUAAUAUAUAUGUAUAUAUAUAUAUGUAUGUAUUUUUAAGCCAUCAAUAUAAUAUCUUGUUUUAUAUAUAUAUAUAUACACACUAUUUUCAAGACACAAAUGCAUAUAUAAAUUUGAUUUUUAAUGUUCUAUUAAUAUAUUAUAUAUAUAAUAAGUAUUUAUUUAUUUAAAUUAUGAAAUUAUAAAAUAUUAGGACCAAUAAAAAAAAUUAGCGUACAUAUAUAAUAGAAACUAUGUUAAAAAAGUAAAUAAUAUUAUAUAUUAUUUACAUAUAGAUAUAUAUUUAUCAAAUAUAUAUGUAUUUAUAUAUAGUAUAUUGUGAGAUGAAAAGAAAAUUAAAAAUAUUUAAUGUAUUAAACUUGAUAUUAUUGUACUAAAUUAAUUAUAAGGUCAUGUUAUAAUUGAGAAUAAAUUGAAACUUGAUGUAUUUUCUGGCCAGACUAUAAAUUCAUGUUAUAAUUGCAAUUAAAUUGAAAAUUGAUGUAUUUUCUGGCCAAAUUAUAAGGUCAUGAUAUAAACCAGAAAAUUGACAAAGUAUAUGUAUUUUUUGGCAAUAACCCCAACAAAUUAACCCUAAUUACUAUCAUUUGUAGCCUCGUAGACUUGAGGAUUUAGGACACAUGCCAAAAACAAAGAUAAUAUACAACUCGAUAUUGCAAAGAUAAUUUGUCUUAAAAGUUAACAAUGAAGCACAAUUCAAUUUGUAAGAUUCUUCUCCUUUAAUAUUAGGUUGACGAUUCAACUCAUCGUGACAGAUAAAUGUAGAAUCAUUGUUGAUCUAGUUUAAUUCACAUUUGUGAAGAUAAAUAUUCAUUCAGAAAAGUUUGUGUCACGAGCUUGGACUUAACAAUCUUCAAAUAAGUGAGAAUUAAUUUUUAAAUACCAAAUCAUAAAAUUAAUAAGUUAUAUAGCCUCUUUAUUAAAAGAGAAAUAUUUUUUUAAAAUGCUGAAAAACCAAGAGAAAUUCCCUUUAAAUUGCCCCAAAAAAUUAACUCAAGCUAUCAAAUAAACAACAAAUAUAAAUACCAAAGUCUGGACUAUAAUUUAAGAAGAAUGUUAUAAAUAACAAUGUUUCUGCAUGAUAUAAUAUAUAAACUCUUUUAACUUAAACCCAAUAUAAACAAUAAUAACGAUGCUAAUACUCUUUUAACUGAGCCAUAUCAGAUUAUUCUUAUGCGGAAAAGCUUGAUAACCACUAGUAUAGGAUUCCGGAAGCUCUAUAGAGUCAAGUUGAUGCGUAUCAAGAUUGUAGAAAAUGCAAUGCCGCCGUUGCUUCCCAUAAAAAUUGGCGCCAAAAUAGAAGGCCAAAACAUGUGGAUAUUUAACCCAACCAAGUGGCUUAAGAACUCGAGGAGCAUCUUCAGGAGCAAACCUUUGAAUCCUGCAUUUCUGAGCUCUCAAGUCGACGUUGGGCAGCGCCUUCCUCCACUCGCCCGUCUCUGCCUUCAUCUCCCAAACCUCCCACAACAGAUCCCCACACGCUACCAGGAGCGACACACACCUCCCAGUCGACAGAUAAUAAUAGUCGCGAUCAUGGUGCUCGUAAGGGGCUUUACUCAGUGUAAUGAUCUCCGUCUCCACAUCCAUCGUAAGGCAGUAUCUCCACCAUCCCCAGUGCACGAAACCUUCACUAGUCAAGGGAGUCUGCUGGAGGAGACUUCGCCUGAGAAAUUCGGGUAAGUGGUGAACCUCGACGUGCCUCCAGGAUUCAUCGAAUCCAACAGUGAGCACGUCGAGAUGGAAGUCCUCUCGUGCGUGUGGUUCAUAGCGGCGAACAAAGGCUGGUCGAAUCACUUUAUAAGCCAAGGAAGCUGCAGAGUAUGCAAAACCAAACAGGAGCAGGCCACAGGCAACAAAGCCUGUAGGCAAUGGUGGGAGGUGGAAUGACUGCUUCGUUGCAGGAUUCACAAUCACAAGACGAGGGAAGUUACCUUCCAACUCCAGACCGUUGCAGGUAGCAAGAACUGUUAGUCAAAAGUGGCUGCCACCAACCUUCUUCACCAACCACCUCACACCAACCACCUCACACCAACCACCUCUCACCUACCACCUCCAAAUCUUCCUAUAAAUAGAGAGCUCUUCUGCAGCAUCCUAUACAACAACACCAAACAACCAUCAAAGCUUUCUGCUAGAGAGAGAUAGAGAAAGAGAGAGAGAGAAAAAUCUUGUGAGAGAAAACUUCAGUGUGGAAGUUAUACACGAGUGAUAAAAGUGAGUUGAGAGAUAGCCUCUGCGUAGGCAGAUACAAAAUACAGUGUGGUAAUUUUGUUGUACUCCUCCUUUUGAGAUUCUCUAAUAUAUUGGUGUGGGUCCGUGGACGUAGGCAGUUUGGCCGAACCACGUUAAAAAUAUCGGUGUCAUUUUUUCUUCUCGUUUCAUAUCGGUCGAUAUCCACAAUAUUGAGUCACACUUGAUCCCGGGCGGAAUUAGUUGCGUCUAAUUUCCCAACAACUGGUAUCAGAGCCACGUUGGUGGCGAAAUUUUUUUUUCUUGCGCUGGUACUAAUUUUGCGAACAGUGUUUCGUGCGCAACGGUAAUUAUUCUUUUAAAAUUCUUAGUAUGCUCUGUGGUUGCAGUGUAAACUGAACCUCCACAUCAGAAACGAAUUUUUUGAGAAAAUUAUCGUGUUUUUUGAUCGAGUGGGAGCAAUGUCGACAGACGAUAAAAUUUCCAAAAUGGAGAAAUUCAAUGGUGUGAAUUUUGGAUUUUGGAAAAUGCAAAUGGAGGAUUACUUGUACCAGAAGGACCUGUAUAAGCCCUUGAAGGAAAAGCCAGUGGAUAUGAAGGACGACGAGUGGGAGGUGCUUGAUCGAAAAGCACUCGGCGCAAUCAGACUGACCUUAUCAAAGUCAGUCGCCUUCAACAUAAAGCAUGAGAAGACAACAGCGUCUCUCAUGAAAGCUUUAUCCAGCAUGUACGAGCAGCCGUCUGCAGCAAAUAAAGUUCAUUUGAUCAAGAAAUUGUUCAAUAUGAAAAUGACGGAGAGCGGAAGAUUUGGAGAACAUUUGAACGAGUUCAACGAAGUGACGGACCAACUUACCACGGUGGACAUCAAAUUCGAUGAUGAGGUCCGGGCUUUGUUAAUUGUUGGGCAGUUACCUGAGAGCUGGAAUGGCACAGUUACGGCCAUUAGCAGCUCUGCCGGUAAGUCCAAAAUGAAGUUCGAUGAUGUCGUGAGCAUGAUCUUAACCGAGGAGAUCCGGAGGCAGUCAGAUGUAGUCUCCACUUCAGGUGCCGCUUUAAAUGCAGAAAGCAGAGGCAGAAACUCAAACAGAAGUCAAGGGCGUGGACGGAGCAAGUCAAGGAAUGGCAGGCAGAGCUCCAGGAUCCACAAGAAUUCCAACAAAUCAAAGUCUAGUUGAAUGUUGGAACUGUGGUCAGGUCGGACACUACAGAACGCAGUGUAAAGUACCUUCAAAGGGAAACGAGACAAAGACCGAAGCCAAUGUUGUGGCUGAAGAAGAAGGCGAUGCCUUGAUAUGUUCCAUGGAGAAAAGGGCCGAGUAUUGGGUCAUAGACUCUGGAGCAUCUUUCCAUGCCACCUCGAAUCGAAAUUCCUUCAUAAAUUACAUGUCGGGAAAUUUCGGAGAAGUAUAUCUCGGAGAUGAUCACCCAUGCAGCGUGGUGGGCAUAGGAGAAGUACAGAUCAAACUCAAUGGAUCUGUAUGGAAAUUGAAGGACGUGAGACACAUUCCAGAGUUGAGGAAGAACUUGAUCUCCGUCAAGCAAUUGUCAAGAGAAGGAUGUGAUACACACUUCUCAGGUGAUUAUUGGAAAAUCACUAAGGGCGCAAUGAUUCUUGCAUGUGGCAAGGAUACUGGAAGCCUAUACACAACGAUGAAUGCGUGUGUGACAAUUGCAGUUGCUGAUAGCAAGAAGAAUGCAAAUUUGUGGCACCAAAGACUUGGGCACAUGAGCCAGAAAGGGCUCAAGUAUAUGCAUUCGAAAGGGAAACUACCAGAGCUUCAGUCUGUUGAUAUAGACUUUUGCGAAAGUUGUAUCUACGGGAAGCAGAAGAGGGUGAGUUUCAAUACCAGUGGUAGAACUCCGAAGCAAGUAAAGCUUGAGUUAGUCCACACAGAUGUUUGGGGCCCAGCAGCAGUUUCAUCCAAUGGCGGAAAGUCUUACUUUGUGACUUUCAUCGAUGACCACUCGAGAAGGUGUGGGUUUACUUCUUGAGACACAAGUCAGAGGUGUUCGAGGCGUUCAAGAAGUGGAAGGCCAUGGUGGAAAUGAAACUGGCUUACGGAUAAAGAGUUGAGAUCCGAUAAUGGUGGAGAAUACGAAGAUAUGGCGUUUCAAGUAAUUUUGUUACCAGGAUGGCAUCAAGUUAGAAAGGACGUUGCCAGGGACACCACAACAAAAUGGAGUUGCAGAACGCAUGAACCGGACGUUGACAGAAAGAGCUAGGAGCAUGAGGAUACAUGCAGGACUGCCNAUUAAUUAUAAGGUCAUGUUAUAAUUGAGAAUAAAUUGAAACUUGAUGUAUUUCUGGCCAGACUAUAAAUUCAUGUUAUAAUUGCAAUUAAAUUGAAAAUUGAUGUAUUUCUGGCCAAAUUAUAAGGUCAUGAUAUAAACCAGAAAAUUGACAAAGUAUAUGUAUUUUUUGGCAAUAACCCCAACAAAUUAACCCUAAUUACUAUCAUUUGUAGCCUCGUAGACUUGAGGAUUUAGGACACAUGCCAAAAACAAAGAUAAUAUACAACUCGAUAUUGCAAAGAUAAUUUGUCUUAAAAGUUAACAAUGAAGCACAAUUCAAUUUGUAAGAUUCUUCUCCUUUAAUAUUAGGUUGACGAUUCAACUCAUCGUGACAGAUAAAUGUAGAAUCAUUGUUGAUCUAGUUUAAUUCACAUUUGUGAAGAUAAAUAUUCAUUCAGAAAAGUUUGUGUCACGAGCUUGGACUUAACAAUCUUCAAAUAAGUGAGAAUUAAUUUUUAAAUACCAAAUCAUAAAAUUAAUAAGUUAUAUAGCCUCUUUAUUAAAAGAGAAAUAUUUUUUUAAAAUGCUGAAAAACCAAGAGAAAUUCCCUUUAAAUUGCCCCAAAAAAUUAACUCAAGCUAUCAAAUAAACAACAAAUAUAAAUACCAAAGUCUGGACUAUAAUUUAAGAAGAAUGUUAUAAAUAACAAUGUUUCUGCAUGAUAUAAUAUAUAAACUCUUUUAACUUAAACCCAAUAUAAACAAUAAUAACGAUGCUAAUACUCUUUUAACUGAGCCAUAUCAGAUUAUUCUUAUGCGGAAAAGCUUGAUAACCACUAGUAUAGGAUUCCGGAAGCUCUAUAGAGUCAAGUUGAUGCGUAUCAAGAUUGUAGAAAAUGCAAUGCCGCCGUUGCUUCCCAUAAAAAUUGGCGCCAAAAUAGAAGGCCAAAACAUGUGGAUAUUUAACCCAACCAAGUGGCUUAAGAACUCGAGGAGCAUCUUCAGGAGCAAACCUUUGAAUCCUGCAUUUCUGAGCUCUCAAGUCGACGUUGGGCAGCGCCUUCCUCCACUCGCCCGUCUCUGCCUUCAUCUCCCAAACCUCCCACAACAGAUCCCUACACGCUACCAGCACACACCUCCCAGUCGACAGAUAAUAAUAGUCGCGAUCAUGGUGCUCGUAAGGGGCUUUACUCAGUGUAAUGAUCUCCGUCUCCACAUCCAUCGUAAGGCAGUAUCUCCACCAUCCCCAGUGCACGAAACCUUCACUAGUCAAGGGAGUCUGCUGGAGGAGACUUCGCCUGAGAAAUUCGGGUAAGUGGUGAACCUCGACGUGCCUCCAGGAUUCAUCGAAUCCAACAGUGAGCACGUCGAGAUGGAAGUCCUCUCGUGCGUGUGGUUCAUAGCGGCGAACAAAGGCUGGUCGAAUCACUUUAUAAGCCAAGGAAGCUGCAGAGUAUGCAAAACCAAACAGGAGCAGGCCACAGGCAACAAAGCCUGUAGGCAAUGGUGGGAGGUGGAAUGACUGCUUCGUUGCAGGAUUCACAAUCACAAGACGAGGGAAGUUACCUUCCAACUCCAGACCGUUGCAGGUAGCAAGAACUGUUAGUCAAAAGUGGCAGCUUCUUUAUGGCUGCCACCAACCACCUCUCACCAACCACCUCUCACCAACCACAUCUCACCUACCACCUCCAAUUCCUUCACUAUAAAUAAUCCCCUCCGCAGCACUUGCCAAAUACACCAAACAACCAUCAAAGCUUUCUGCUAGAGAGAGAUAGAGAAAGAGAGAGAGAGAAAAAUCUUGUGAGAGAAAACUUCAGUGUGGAAGUUAUACACGAGUGAUAAAAGUGAGUUGAGAGAUAGCCUCUGCGUAGGCAGAUACAAAAUACAGUGUGGUAAUUUUGUUGUACUCCUCCUUUUGAGAUUCUCUAAUAUAUUGGUGUGGGUCCGUGGACGUAGGCAGUUUGGCCGAACCACGUUAAAAAUAUCGGUGUCAUUUAUUUUUCUCGUUUCAUAUCGGUCGAUAUCCAAAAUAUUGCGUCACACUAGAUCCCGGGCGGAAUUAGUUGCGUCUAAUUUCCCAACAACUGGUAUCAGAGCCACGUUGGUGGCGAAAUUUUUUUUUCUUGCGCAGGUACUAUUAAUCGAGAAUUUGGACAAUCAUUUUUUGGUAGGAUUCAAAUGGGUUUUUCUUGAAUCUCGUAUAACUUCUUAAUCGAGAAAUUCAAAUGCAUACCUGAUUCGUGAACGGUAUUGCUCGUAGGCCAUGAAAUGUAAUGCUGCAUAGGGUACAAUCCGAAGUACACUUGCUCCAUUCCCUCUGGAUCACAGAAAAAAUAGAAAAAUAACGAAGAAGAAUAAGCCAACCGGGCAAUCUGGGUGAUGAUAAAUAGAUAAUGACUCGAAAUGAAUGGUUUGAAGCUUACUUGUAAAAUCCUGCUACACCUUCAUGCUUCAGUAGCUUCUUUAACGAGGGGUAAACCCCUAGAGACUGAAAACCUUGCGUUCUAGUCUAGAACAGCAACGAGGAACAAAAUCAGAAACGCAUAAUAAUCCAAGCAACAUUUCCAAUUUGAAUCUGAAGCUAAAAUAGAUGUAGCUUCAUCUAAUAAUUCAAUAAACUCUAUCUAGAAAAACAGUCAAAUUAAACAGUAAGAGAUGUUGUACAUUAGAGCAUCCGCAUUGGGGGUUCCUUGAUAGCCUACUUGAUAGCCUACUUGAUAGUGGUUGUGUUAUUGAGUAGGUAGUGCUGCAUUGGGGUUCCUUGAUAGCCUACUUGAUUUUUUUAGUUUUUAAAGAGGAGAGAGAAAUUUUUAAAGAGGAGAAGAGAAUUAAAAAAAAAAAAAAAAAAAAAAAAGAAAAUCACUCGAGGAUACUCGAAAACUCGAGUAGCACUCGAGUAGCUCCUCCCUGCAUCGCCUACUCGAGUGCAAUACUCGAGUUCGAGUAAGGCAUCGAGGAUGCCGAUGCCAAUGCUCUUAGUCAAACCAAGUUCAAAAUUAUUGCCACAAUUCAAGUUAUAGCCGCACAACCGGGUUAUACCUUCACUUAAACUUUGACUCGCACCCUGAUUUGAACUCAUAUCAUGAUCCAACCCAUAUAAAUAAUAUUAUUCUGAAUACGGGUCAACCCGGUUGUACGGUACACCCAGGUGUACCCAAGAUUUUGUGAAAUAUAUAAAUUUUUCCAGAAAUAUAUAGUUCUUGGAUAGUCUCUUUCAGCACAACAAUGAGUCUCUCUUAUCUCCCACUUGUUUUUCAGUUAUGCUGCCAAUGAAAAUGAAAACCACUGUGAAUAGAAUUAAUAAGAAAUAAAAAGAAAAGUAGGAAAGGAAUCAAAUUUAAACCAAAUCUACUAAUUCCUAUUUACCUUAGUCGUCUUCCUCUCGGAGUUAGAACUAGCAAGCUCGGAGUUAGGACUAGCAAGCUCGGAGUGAGGACUAGCAAGUUCGAAGUUAGGACUAGCAAGCUCGGAGUGAGGACUAGCAAGCUCAAUACGAACUUGAAGGGCUCCUUCCCCAUAAUAGACCUCGUGUUCCUCUGAUAUUCUAUUAGCAGAUUCCACAACCGCUUAGCUACAACGGUUCACAUCAAUUUCUCUAAGUGUGGAUAUUUCUGCGAAAUCUAAAGGGAUCCCCACCAACUUACAUACUGCAACAAGAUGAAGGGACUCAAGGCAUGGAAAGUGGGAGCUUUGGAAAGUGGGACAUCAUCAACACCCACCAUGCUACUCUGAGGCGUAAUCGAAGAAGAUCUCUUCUGCAAAAUCGAAGAAGAUCUCAAGGAAUGAGGAGGAGUUGAGUUUCUGAGCAGCUGAUGUUGGACUCCAACUCUCCCUUGAAUUUGCUUGGCCUCCUCUUCGACAGAAGCCAUAUCUUGUAUCACCUUCUCGAGAGCUUUAUACAAGCCAUCAAAGCUCAUAUUUUCUCCAUCAUUUUUUACCUCAUCAAAAAUAUGAGAUACAAUGGCGCAUUCCUCAUCGAAAAUAUGAGAUUCAAUGGCGUAUUCGGCUGCAUAAGCUGCAUCUGCAAUGCGAAUCUCAAAGGGAUCCGCUUCAUUGGAGUAGACACGAUGAGGAUUAUAGGAUUGGAGAAAUUCUAGCAAGAAACUGAUUUUUUGAGUGAGAGACUCAACUUGUUUAAUAUGGAGAGGAAUAGGAGGGCAAGGAUGAAGUUGAAGGUUAUCAAUGAUAUGCAUAGCAGAAACUAGAGUUGCAUAAGCCGCCAUGGUUGAUUUGGAGUUGCAGACAGAAGCAGUAUGAAUGAAGAUGAGACUUAAUGAUUCUGAAUUCUCAAAGUCUGGCCACAUAUUGUUUCCAAUCUAUCUCAAUUAUUGAAAACUUUAAUUUCUCUUUUUACAGACUGGAAGAGAGCGACUGGACAUUCAAUUAUUAUAAUUUUGUCAACGUUUUUCUUUCCUUUUCAAAUUAUCGUUCAAUUUUGUAUAUAACUAUUUACAUUUAUUAUUUUAAUAUUUUUUAUACAAAUAUAUUUUAUUAUAAUAUUAUAAAUUAGUAUUUAAUUAUUUAUUAUAAUUUUUAAAUUUGUAUAUACCCUAAUUUUGAAUUUAUAAAUUAUUAAUCAAUAAAAAUAGUAUUUAUGUACUCUAACUGGAUGGAAUAAACUAAUAAAAUUAACCGGUACAUUUAUUUCAGAGAAAGUGUUUCUAUGUUACGUACCAUGCAUUUACUAUCUUGUAGUUUAAUCUUGCACUUUAGCGUCUUUUAUAUGAGUAAUGUUUUCCAACGAGAUUAAACUGUCAACAUAAAUAAAUAGAUUAAAAAAAGUAAUCGAAUAUCAAAUAGUAUUAAUUUAAUUUAAUUAUUUGGUGUGAAACUUAAUUAAUGUAAAAUCACAUCCAUGUAAAUAAAUAGAAAUUUGUGUUAUUUACUUAGAUUAUCCACAUUUCUUACUUUGGAACGGACUGGAGCAUGAGUUGCUGUAACACCCCAAUUUUCAUAAACCUUUCAAUAUAAAAUCUUUGAAAAACUAAUAGAUAAAAUAAAAUUCCUUGAAUUAUAAAAGUUUAAACCAAUUUAAAUUCAACUUGCCAAAACUAAAGUAGUAACAUGAAAAUAAAAUAAAACUUAAUAAGUUCAACUAAAAUGUUCAAUGUAAAAUCCUUAUCCCUAGUCAUUCUCCACUUCCAUGGCCACUUCGACUCUGAAACUGCAAAACUGAAAAGAUAAGGGGUGAGCAUAUUGAAAAAUAUACUCAUUGAGGAACAUAACAAAAUAUUCAUAUACGUCACAUAUAUAAUCAAAACACGUUAUCAUACUUGCAAACAUACGCCAAGAGACGGAGCCCCUUGACAAACAUAAUCAUAGUUUGAGUCGAUGGCUUAAGUCCCAUGACCAAACACAUACAUAAAUCAAUGGCUUAGGUCCCAUGAUCGAUCAAUGGCUUAGGUCCCAUGAUCACACAUAACAUAGAUCAAUGGCUUAGGUCCCAUGAUCGCACAUAACAUAGAUCAAUGGCUUAGGUCCCAUGAUCGCACAUAACAUAGAUCAAUGGCUUAGGUCCCAUGAUCGCACAUAACAACAUAGUCAUAAGAUGCACGUAAACAAGUAAUCAACGCGAUAAUAAAAACAUAUAUAACCAUAUGAAUAAGCGUAAAAUCCCUCACCUUAAAGUCGAAGCUAAAUAAAUCAAAUUCGGAAUGAGGAUCUUAAUUGCGCCGCACCUAAUCACAUAACAUGUCGAAUAAAACAUAAAGGUCUAAUUAAACUUUAUAAAUACAAUUACUAAAUUAAAAAGAAUUCUAUAUCAAGUCUUAUNNNNNNNNNNNNNNNNNNNNNNNNNNNNNNNNNNNNNNNNNNNNNNNNNNNNNNNNNNNNNNNNNNNNNNNNNNNNNNNNNNNNNNNNNNNNNNNNNNNNNNNNNNNNNNNNNNNNNNNNNNNNNNNNNNNNNNNNNNNNNNNNNNNNNNNNNNNNNNNNNNNNNNNNNNNNNNNNNNNNNNNNNNNNNNNNNNNNNNNNNNNNNNNNNNNNNNNNNNNNNNNNNNNNNNNNNNNNNNNNNNNNNNNNNNNNNNNNNNNNNNNNNNNNNNNNNNNNNNNNNNNNNNNNNNNNNNNNNNNNNNNNNNNNNNNNNNNNNNNNNNNNNNNNNNNNNNNNNNNNNNNNNNNNNNNNNNNNNNNNNNNNNNNNNNNNNNNNNNNNNNNNNNNNNNNNNNAAAGGGUGCUUUGUACACAAUGAAACAUGAAGAAAGACAAUAAAAAUCCCAACGUUUACAGCCCUACAAAUAUGAAUUCAUUAUACAAAUAUACCAAUACUAUGUUCAACAUGGUAUCAGAGCAGGUUUAAUCCUUAGGAACUCAAGAAAGAAAAAGAAAAAAAAAUCCUCAUUAUUCCAUUACCUUUCCUCAACCUUUCUCAACCCAAAUCAAGGCAGCCAACUGACGUGUUUUUCCCUUCUCCUUCCUGCAAAAAUUAGGUCAAAAAUGUAAGGAGAAAUGCAAAUCACAGAACCAAAAAACAGAUACAAACGAGCUAACCCAACAAAUUGCCAAUUUGAUGUGAAACUCCGAAAACGUCAUGCUCGGAUUCAAAUUAGAUGGCAACAAUUAUCCCCUAUGGGCCCGCCUCAUGAAGGUAGCCAUAGGCAGCAGAGGCAGGUCCGGACACAUCACCGGACAACCACCACGGUAAAACGCAUAGUCAACAUGAUCAUAUAAGUUAUUGCAACAUUUGGAUACCAAUCUGUAAUAUUUGCAAAUUCAAGAAUUUCAAUAGAUGCAUAUGACAUUAUUUUAUUUGGCAAUGGCAUUUGUAAUAGUAUGUUUUAUUCAGUAAAUAAAUCAACUAAGUCAACAUCAAAUAUAUUAUCAUAAGUAAAAAUAGAUUUCAAAUUAAUACAACAAUGUCUUAAUAUUUUUCACUAUCCAUAGAUUUUAAAGUUUUCAAACCAAACAAAAAAUCAAAUAUAUGAUCAAAUGAUUUCAUUUUUUCAAAUGUACAUUUUAAAUAAGCAAUUGCAUGUCCAAAACAACUACAAAAUACUCAAAUUCUAAAUAACUCUUCGAGUGAUAAUGAAACUUCAGCACUUUGUCCCUCAUCAAAUUAUUUUUCUCUAGUAAUACGAUGUUUUGUUGAAAAUAUUGGCUUUAUAUUCAUAUUAGAUACAACACUCUUAACAAUAGUCAAACAUGUAUCAAAACCUCCAUUCCUAUACUUUUCAAGAAAAUUUUAGCCCGAAAAAUAAAAAAAUCGAUUAGCCCUAAUCGAAAGUAACUCGAAACCGAAUGGGUUGACCCGAAACCGAGUGGGUUGGCCCGAUUGACAUCCCUACUUAAGAGCUCCAUCAGCAAACUAUUGAAUCCUGCAUUUCUCAGCUCCCAAAUCGACGUUGGGCAGCGCCUUCCUCCACUCGCCCGUCUCUGCCUUCAUCUCCCGAACCUCCCACGACAUAUCCCCACACAAAAUCAGGAGCGACACAAUUUAUUACGCAAAUUAUUCUCAAUUUUACAUUAACCUACUUCGCCUGAAGAUGCUAAUCAAUCCAGAAAACUUAUACAAAUACAAUUUUAACUAAAUCAAAAUAGAUGAAAGAAAUGCUACUAUAAAACAAAUUUAACAUUAUUAUUAUGCAUUGUUAGGGGCUUCCUUAUAGGGAAACACCCUUCCAAAAAAUGGCGUAUGCCGCUUAAGUUGCGACAAGCACACGGUAUUCUUUAGUAAAAGGCGAAAGAAUAGCUCGCUAUGUGCUCAACACGCGGCUGCGUGGUUUAACAAGUGUAGUCGGCCAUUGUUUUAUAGUAGCACAUAGUUAGACCGUAUCUCUCUGAUUGUCAAUGUGGGAUAUUUAGCUUUUUUACUUGAAACCAAAUCACAACCGGCGGUUUUCAUCCAUAAAUGCGAUGAAACUAACCAACUGCAAUUUUCUUCAUCUAGCAAGAAGCUUCAACAGCUCAUGCAUCAUCGCCAUCAUUCUUGUUGCAUCUCAUAUCGGUUUCGCCAUUGAAGAGCUUCAACAUACUCUCUCUCUCUCUCCCUCUCAUCUUCUCCAUUUAAUCACUUCAAACCAAAUAAUCAAGGGCCUUCAUUAUCCACCAUUUUAACUUUUUGCAAAGUAAACAUCGGAUAUAGUUAGAUAACUUUUGUAAUACACCCUUAUACACCAUAGCAAACAAGGCCCAAAAAGAGUUGCAGAAUCAUAUUUGAAAAUUUACAGGUUGCCAAAUAAGAGGGAAAAGUAGUAUACUCGAAAACAGUCCAUUUCCAACCAUAGAACCUGUUAAGCAGAUUUGUUAUAAUAAAAAGGGUUAAAGUACAGAUCAGCCCCUAAAGUGGACACCCCUAGAGCGUUGGGCUCCCCAUACUCGACUCAGGCUCAAAUAACUCCCCAAAGCCUAUAAAAAUACUACACUUAAGCCCACAGUAAAACGACCCUUUCAUUCCGUUUCUUUUUUUUUUCGCGUGGGGAGCCAAUGACAAAUGCAUAUAAUAUCAACACACAAACACACAGAAGAGCUUAUCAGGAGCUUCUUUAGUCAAAUAUCUGAAUUUUUCCGGCAUGCUGCUUUCUCCACGAAUUAAUCUCUGUCUCUUCAUUCCUACUGUUAUCAACUGAGCCGCUUUCAUUUUGGGCUUUUACCGAAAACCCAUUAAAGGAUUUCUUGAAUGAACCGUAAAAGCUGUGGGAAAUUUGGAGUUUGUUCAAAGGUUUCGCCUUUUUGGUUAGCAGUGAGGAUGUUAUCGGAAAUGAGCUGUUGCUGUGGUGAAAUCGAGGGGGAUUUUUAGGUGGGGAGAGUUUGUAGUGUAAAAUAAAUACUCUCUCCGUCCACGAUAUAGUUUCCAUAUUGUGGACGACACAUAUUUUAAGAAAAAUGAUGAAUAAUACUCCCUCCAUCCACGAUAAGUAUGGUAUAGAGGAGAGGGCACGAGUUCUAAGAAAAUAUUGGGAGAUAUGUAUAAAGGGCACGAGUUCUAAAAAAAUAUUGGGAGAUAUGUAUAAAGUGAAUAAAGGAAUCCACUAAAAUUGAUUUUUUUAGGUAUUAAUAAAUGGUGAUCAAUCCAAAAAACUUAAACAAAUACAAUUUUACCUAAAUCAAAAUAGAUGAAAGAAAUGCUACUAUAAAACAAAUUUAACAUUAUUAUGCAUUGUUGGGGGCUUCCUUAUAGGGAAACACCCCUCCAAAAAAUGGCGUAUGCCGCUUAAGUUGCGACGAGCACACGGUAUUCUUUAGUAAAAGGCGAAAGAAUAGUUCGCUAUGUGCUCAACGCGCAGCUGCAUGGUUUCACAAGUGUAGUCGGCCAUUCUUUUAUAGUAGCACAUAGUUAGACCGUUUCUCUCUGAUUGUCGAUGUGGGAUAUUUAGCUUUUUUACUUGAAACCAAAUCACAACCGGCGGUUUUCAUCCAUAAAUGCGAUGAAACUAACCAACUGCAGUUUUCUUCAUCUAGCAAGAAGCUUCAACAGCUCAUGCAUCAUCGCCAUCAUUCUUGUUGCAUCUCAUAUCGGUUUCGCCAUUGAAGAGCUUCAACAUACUCUCUCUCUCUCUCCCUCUCAUCUUCUUCCUCUCUCUCUCUGGAGCCUCAGCAUUCUACAACAUAUAUAUCUCACAACCGCUUCUCUUCUCUUCUCUUCGCCUCUCUAUCCUCUGCCUUCAUCUCCCAAACCUUCCACGACAGAUCCCCACACGCAACCAGGAGGCGACACACGCCUCCCAGUCGACACAUAUUUAUAGUCGCGUUCAUUGUACUGAUAAGGGGCUUCACUAAGUGUAAUGAUCUCCGUCUCCACAUCCAUCGUUGCGCAGUACCUCCCCCUUCCCCAGUGCAAGAAACCUUCACUAGUCAAGGGAGCCUUAUCGAAGAAGAAUGGCCUUACAUGGUGGGGUAGGUGGUGAACCGCGUACGUGCCUCCAGGACUCAUCGACUCCAACAGUGAGCACGUCAAGACCGAGGUCAAUUUGUAGGCGUGGUGGCUAAUGUAUAUCAUUUGCAGGGCUGUAAACGAACAGAACUACUCGGAGUAACUACUCUCAUUGAUUUACAUAAAGUGGCAUAGCUUUAAGCUUUAUGGUUGAUAGGAGUCGGAGUUGCAGGGAUAUUGAAUCAAUAGAAAGAGAAUAAUUAUUUAUUCUAGUCGAUGAUCGAAUUUUAAUCCUAAAUCCAUUAAAAUUCUACUUACACAUAAAAAUGAAUUGUAUAGACUGCCCGAAAAAUUUGGCUCGGGGGCUACCGCCCCAAACCCCCAUUCAAUACCUUCAAGUUCAGCCACCCUAUCAACAAAUCUUGGAUCCGCCCCUGGGUACAGAAAUGGUUUGGGUGGGAAGGGUGGUGGGGAGUACCGUUCUUUUUUUUUAAUUAUAUUUUUUAAUUUAUUUUUAUUAUAAUUUCAUUAAGGAUAUAAUAGUCAUUUUACUCAAAAAUUGAUUAGAUUUAAUAUUUUUUUAUUUUCAUGGUUAAUAUUAACAUUUUGUUAAUUAAAAUGGUUAUUUCCAAGUAUUAACAUUGUUAUUAAUGUAUUUUAAUUUCUGUAUUAUAUUUUACUUCAAUAAAAUUAAUAUAAUAACAUGAAUCAAAUUAAUUUUUUUAAAUAAUAAAAUAUAAUUUAAAAUUUAAACGUGCAUAUAUUGAAAAGCAAAUUGAUACAACACACAACUAAAAAUAAAAAUACAUACAAUUUGGGAAACAAAAAAUAAAAACGCAAAAAAAAAGGAAUUGGAAGAAAAUUAAAAAUAAAAAUUCUUACAUUAAAUUUUUUAAAAAAAACUUGCAAAAUAAGGCAAAAAAAACAAAAAACAAAAAAAAAAAGAAAGAAGACGAAAAAACAAAAAAGAAUAAGAAACGAUCGAAAAGAACAAAGGAUGGAAAAUGGAAGAAUUGAAGAAAUUUUCAAAAAAAAUAAAAAAUAAAUAAAUAACUUUAAAGUUGUAGGUAGCGGGGUCCACGUUUGGACUACUACCCCAAAAGAUAUCUCCCACUAGUUGAAAAUAUAAAAAUAAAUUGCAUAUAUGUGCACAUAUACAUAAAGACAUAUGUACAUCAUUUUAAACAACACUACAAAAUUGCAUAAUGAAUAUACCCAAUUGUGGUUCUACCUUAAAAUCUGUAUAUAAUAAAACUUAUUUUCUAAUGUCACGUUUAUUUUUUCACUAAUCACACAAUUUUCAAUAAAUCUAUCAAUAUAAAAUUUGUAAUUAUUUAUAAAAAUUAAAUUAUAAAAAGACAAAAAAAAUUGCACGUGUGUAUUAAUACAAAUAUUCAAUACUAAAUUCAAAAAAAAAAAAAAGUAGCUAUUUUUAAAUUCACAUUAAGAAAAUAACACGUACUAAUAUACAAUAUGCAUCCGGGGAAAUUUCGAUGUUGAAAAGAAUUGUUGUAUACUCCCUCCGUCCACCAAAAAUAUGCCACAAUUUCCUUUUUCGUCCGUCCACAAAAAAUAUGCCACUUCCAUUUUUAGUAGUAGGGUCCACACAACUCCACUCACAUUUAAAGUGGGACCCUUACUCCACUACCAACUUUACUCACAUUUUCUUAAAACCCGUGCCGAAAGCAAAGUGGCAUGUUUUUCGUGGACGGAGGGAGUAAAUGGGUUGGGCACAUUGGGCCGAGGAGGAGUGGGUUGGGUUGCUGGAAAAUAGUUCAUCCUUCAAAUCCAGUAGAAUUAAUUAUUGUUGUAAAAAUAUGUCCAAGGUUUCUUCUUGAAUUAAUCAUUUCUUUUUCUGAGCAAAUGGGACCAAGUUGAUCAUCAGUAAUCAACUAAUCAUAGUAUAUUCACCGAUGCAUGAACUGGAAAAUGAAAAUCAGCAUCAAUCACGUAGCAAAUUGUAAAGGGCUUCCUUUAUAAAUUACUACUCUCUCCGUCAGUGGCGGAGCCAGGAAUUAAUUUGGGAGGGGCUGANUAAUACUACGUGACAGUGGCGGAGCCAGGAAUUAAGUGGGACCAUUUCUCCACUCAACUAAUAAAAAUACAUUUUUUUCUUAAAACCCGUGUUAUUUCAUAUAGGCCUUUAAUUGGUGGACGGAGGGAAUAAUAAAGAACAACAUUUUCAUAGAUUAUAUAAUUUAAAUAUAUAACAAAUUAGUUUCAAUACAUUACAAAUUUUUUUGAGACAUUCUAUAUUUUUAAAGCAUUUUUUAUUAAAAGACGAGCAUAAUAGUAAUUAUAAAGAACAACAUUUUCAUAUACUAUAUAGUUUUAAUAGAUUACAAAUUAAUUUCAAUACAUUACAAACUUUUUUUUUGUCAUUUCGUACAUUUUAGGCAUUUUUUAUUAAUAGACAAGCAUAAUAACAAUAAUAACGAACAAUAUUUUCAUAACUAGUAUAUUUUCAAUAAAUUACAAGCUUGAAUCAAUAAUAAUAAAAGACAAGCAUAGUAAUAAUAGCAAACAAAUUUUUUUUGGGCAUUCCAUCCAUUUUAGGCAUUUUCUAUUAAAAGGCAAGCAUAAUAGUGAUAAUAAUGUAUAGUAUAUUUAUAGAUUAUAUAGUUUUAAAUAACACAAUUAUCCUUAAAUUAAUUAUAAAUGAAAGAAUUUAACAAGCUAAUCAACUUUUGUAAAACAAAUUUCUUUUAUAAUAUAAACAUAUAUCUAUAUAUUUUAAAUAAAUAAAUAAACUCAAAAUUUGGGAGGGGGCUUCAGCCUCCCCCCCCCCCCCCCCCGCCCCCGGCUACGCCCCUGCUCUCCGUCCCAUUUGUAUUGGCCCCUUACUUUUGGGCACGGAGAUUAAGAAAGUCUUUAUUUAUGAGUUAAGUAGGUGAAGUGUUUUACUUUUGUCCACUUAGGAGCCCUUAUUUUUGCUAUUUUAAAAAAGGGGCCAAUACAAUUGGGACAGCCCAAAAUGGCAAGGAAGCCAAUACAAAUGGGACGGAAGGAGUAUAACAGAAGGUCUUUUGGCAAAAUCUGAGCGCCUAUCGAUAGUGUUUGAAAAUUUGAGCGCCUAUCGUUGAAGUUCCAACAUUUCUCAUUUGUUUUUACACUUCUCAUUUGUUUUUACACAUUAUAACUUGAUUUAAAAUUAAGAAAACAUUCUAUAAAUUAAAAAGUGAUUAUUUUUUAUCAAAUAAAAUAACAUCUCGAGUUUGUGCAAGCAGUACAUAAUUUGCAGAGGAUUAGUUUCCCACACUCCCUCAAGAAGUUGAAGUUAUUUCUCAAUAAUGUGGAGUUGGAUGAGAUACUGAUUUUGCCUUACUUUUCAAGCUUGUAUUACAUAAUUCCAUUAAAAAUAUUCUCAAACAGAAUACAGGCUGAUUUGCAAUGGAAUAGCAAUUGUGAGGUCAUAAUCUGUCCAUGCAAAGUGAUGAUAAACAAUACCGAUUCUAAUACUCUUUUAACUUAACCACAUCAGACUAUUCUUAUGCGGAAAAGCCGCAUAAGCUUUAGUAUAGUUUUGCGGUAGCUUUAUGGAGUGGAGUUGAUGCGUAUCAAGAUUGUACAAAAUGCAAUGCACCAUCUUUAACCCAUAGAAGGCGACAAAAUAGAAGGCCAAAACAUGUGGAUAUUUAACCCAACCAAGUGGCUCAAGAACUGCACCAUCUUCAGGAGCUAACUGUUGAAUCCUGCAUUUCUCAGCUCCCAAGUCGACGUUGGGCAGCGCCUUCCUCCACUCGCCCGUCUCUGCCUUCAUCUCCCAAACCUCCCACGACAGAUCCCCACACGCAACCAGGAGCGACACACACCUCCCAGUCGACAGAUAUUUAUAGUCGCGUUCAUGGUACUCAUAAGGGGCUUCACUCAGUGUAAUGAUCUCCGUCUCCACAUCCAACGUCACGCAGUAUCUCCCCUUUCCCCAGUGCACGAAACCUUCACUAGUCAAGGGAACCUUGUCGAAGAAAAUUGGCCUGACAUGGUCGGGGUGGUGGUGAACCUCGACGUGCCUCCAGGACUCAUCGACUCCAACAGUGAACACGAAAAGAUCAUCGACUCCAACAGUGAACACGGAAAGAUCGUCGUCAAUUUGUCGGAGUGGUGCCGAGUGGAAAACAGCGGAUGGUGCAAUCACUUUAUAUGCCAAGGAAGCUGCAGGGCAUGCUAAACCACAGUGGAACUGGCAAUACAUGCGCCCUUUAGGAUACGGUGGGAGGAGGAAUGACUGCCUCGUUGCAGGAUUCGCAAGACGAGGGAAGCGUUUGUCGUCCAACUCCAGAACCAAACCGUUGCAGGUAGCAAGAACUCCCAAUUUGGAGAUGUGAUGUAGCUCACAUUUGUGGAUUCCACCGUUUGCAUCGGCUGUUACAUAAAGUGGCAGUGUAUUACCCUUUACGGGUGAUAGGAGUAGUCCAUAGGUAGCACCGUGCAUCUGCGCGUUGAUGAAGGCAUGAGAAUGGAUAAUGUGGUACCACCGCCGGCAC